rnacentral:rRNA from 1 species
UACGUAGGGUGCAAGCGUUGUCCGGAAUUAUUGGGCGUAAAGAGCUCGUAGGCGGUUUGUCGCGUCGGCUGUGAAAACCCGAGGCUCAACCUCGGGCCUGCAGUCGAUACGGGCAAACUAGAGUGCGGUAGGGGAGACUGGAAUUCCUGGUGUAGCGGUGAAAUGCGCAGAUAUCAGGAAGAACACCCGUGGCGAAGGCGGUUCUCUGGGACGGUACUGACGCUGAGACGCGAAAGCGUGGGGAGCGAACAGG